rnacentral:rRNA from 1 species
GACGAACGCUGGCGGCGUGCCUAAUACAUGCAAGUAGAACGCUGAAGGAGGAGCUUGCUUCUCUGGAUGAGUUGCGAACGGGUGAGUAACGCGUAGGUAACCUGCCUGGUAGCGGGGGAUAACUAUUGGAAACGAUAGCUAAUACCGCAUAACAGUAGAUAUCGCAUGAUAUCUACUUGAAAGGUGCAAUUGCAUCACUACCAGAUGGACCUGCGUUGUAUUAGCUAGUUGGUGAGGUAACGGCUCACCAAGGCGACGAUACAUAGCCGACCUGAGAGGGUGAUCGGCCACACUGGGACUGGGACACGGCCCAGACUCCUACGGGAGGCAGCAGUAGGGAAUCUUCGGCAAUGGACGGAAGUCUGACCGAGCAACGCCGCGUGAGUGAAGAAGGUUUUCGGAUCGUAAAGCUCUGUUGUAAGAGAAGAACGAGUGUGAGAGUGGAAAGUUCACACUGUGACGGUAUCUUACCAGAAAGGGACGGCUAACUACGUG